CUUAGUAACCUAAAGAGGAGUUUGAAGAGGUAUCAUGAAACGCCGUCCUGCGGAAACAUCCACCAUCCGGACCACUGAGGGACCCCAGAACCCAACCUCCAACUGAGUGAACACGGGGAAUGCUCAGAUAGAGAGGCAAGGACCUUGGUCUGCUCCCUCCAUGUAAGAGCUGAUCUGGCUUCCCUAUGGUCACUGAAGGAGUUCCAUCUACCUGUUGGGCC